ACCUGAUCCCAUCCCGAACUCAGAA
rnacentral:rRNA from 1 species